CCACGUUACUGAUGGAAGAACUAAAUGAGAAGACACCCAAAUAGACGCCUCCCAACGGCCGAACUGUUCUGACGCAUUCCCUAACUUACAGCCGGUGCGUAUCGCGGAAGCGGUCGAACUCCGCGGCGAGAAAACGACCUUAUCUUCUCCAGGCAGCCGAAGGUGAAAGGCAAAGUCGAUCGCUGCCGCAGAAAAUCGAAGGAGGUGCAUGGGCUACAGUACAACAAGUUAACAAGCACGUUUACAAUAGACUAUUGUCCUUAGAACGCGCGCUACAUGUUUCAAGUAACAUUUAGCUGGGAUUGAGCAUAUAAACUUUUCAGUUCUUUCAAUUAUUGGGCAAAUGUAGGCUAAUUCCCAAAUCCUAGCCUAUGUAGGAAAUUAUAGUAACAACUGAUAUCAAGUAUCAGACUGAUAUCAUGGAACAGCUUGUAAAAUUAAACAAAUGUAUAGUGGAUAUCGGAUUAGGCGACCACUUCUUUCUUUUGAACCGCAAGACAAUUUUUGCUCGAAAUACGUAAAUUAUAUUGUUGUCUACAGUUAGCCUAUGCAUCGCGGUAAUUUUAGAACGUGAUGUCACAUGGGGCAUUUAAAUCGUAAGAAGCCCAACAAGAGUGUUUGUGAAUGAAUUCGCUGUACGAGUUAAUCACGAGUCUCUCCUCUCCUCUCUAGUCCUUAGUCCUUUGUUGUGUAGCUACGUAGCUGCACUGAUUCGUGCCGUGAGGCAAGGUGACGUUAGGGCUUGGCAGCCCUGGACCCGGGCGUUUAGCAGACCAAUCUCUUAGAGCUCCAAUUUCUUCAAGGGUGUUUAAUAUUCAAGCCGUCAGCAUAGAGCUGCAUUCAUAUCCGAAAUGCUGACAGCUGAACAAGAUGGAAGAGCUUUGAAGAGCAAUAUAAAGCACUGCCAGAGGUUAGGAAAAAAGGAUAAAACAGCCUAUAAUUAAACUACAUGCACAUUGCUCUUGAUGGCAUUUUUUCUCUCAAACGAGCAAAGUGAAUACCUUUCACCCCUGUACAGCAAUCGGGUAAAAUACAAGGUAAUGAUUUGGUGGAUGGGCUUCAAAGUUGUGAAAGAAAACCAGUUGAGUUCUGGAAAAGGAACACAGACACAAAGUUUUGGCCCCAUUUCUAUAUAAUAUCUAGGUCACAAUUAUUUUUAGUCAUAGUUGCUCUGUGUUCAAGACAAUAUAUAAAAGUUAGCUACAGUACACACAUUCACAUUGGCCAUUUGAUUGCAUACUUAGGUUUGCUGCUGUCAUUUUCCUCGGAGAACUACAACUCCUGAAACAGAACUACAGUGUCUUGAUUCUGCAGUUCAAAGUUCACACUGGACAACUGAUUUACAUACAUGCGAAUUACAUGCUAAUUUCCACCACCACUUGGUAGUCUUAGGCAGUGUCAUAUCUGCAUACUUUGGCAAACCUCGUAAAAUUGUCUUGGGGCUGCUCAAACUUGUUUUUUUAAAAUUGAGCUGUGAUGAGAACGAUAAAGUAACUUGCACGAAAAGCUUAUACUUAAUUAUGAGUUUUAUGUCUGUAUUAUUACAACUUUAAAUUGUGUGGCUAUAGUGUAUAUAUAUAUAUAUAUAUAUACACACAUUUGAUACUGGUCCAGGUGAUACACAGUAUGUAUACAGGAGUGAGGGAGUGUGCUCAUCACUAUGCUCACAUUGACCAAAAUGAUCCGAAGUUUGAAUGGGCUUGAGAGAGAAACUGGAACACCCAUGCAUCGAUGUGAAUGACAAAGCAGGAAAGAGUUUACAUGGCACUUUAUUUUAGUUCAAUUAUAUCUAUGUGCAUAAGCAAGGUUUUUCAUAACAUUUCACAGAAUAGAGAUUUGUAUCCACGUUUUCUGUACUGAUCACAUUUUGAUUGAUAAAAAUAAUCACAAUACUCAACACUAUUGGUGCAGUGCAGCUGGUCGUUCUUAAAACAUCGGUCAUCAACAUUGGAGACAAACACAUUUUUUUUUAAAGCCUCGUAACUCUUUGUCUUAUAUUUUUAUUUUCCCAGUGGCUUACACAGCUAUAUACACACAAAGAAACUAAACCCCAGUUAUACCCAUGUUAAAAGUACCUAUGACUAAAUAAGCUGAUGAUAUAAUAAUAAAAACUAAAUGUAUAUAUUCUUAACAUUGACAUAGCGUUCGCUCUUAAUUACAAUGCAUUGUACCAUGAUUGAUCACAACUGGGGAGAAAUCGGUCCUGCAUGCUGGACUGGGCGAUACAGUUUGUUGGCCAGAACGCGGUGUCUAUCCAGCAAAUGGCCACAGGCCCAGAGGCUGAGAACGUCACAUGAUCCUGGAAGUCAGUGCUACCACGCCUGCUGCUGCCCUCAGAAAGAAAAAAACGGGGUGUUAAUUUCGACUCGACUGGCAUCCCGUUAACCUGCAAGUUCACCGAUCAAGGCGGGCGAUCGGUGUCCUCGUACUAAUGAGCCGUGGUAGAGAAACACGGCACGCCUGCGAACAGCCAGGAAAAGGGACAGUUUCGUCCACAAACAGACGCCGGAACAGGUGAGUAAUAAUACAUUUUGGGUCCGGAAUGCGAAAAAACGGAUUGGAGCGGGUUUUAAAAACGAUUACAGCUCCCGGCAACAGAGACCGCUCUGAAAUAAACGACUUGUGACACACUAAAACGAUGGAACAGAAGCAGAUUAAAAAGGAAGCCCAGCACCGACAGAACCCAGGAAACAUGAGCCUGCUCGAAGUUGGAAGAGCGAGGAUCGUCAGCACGACGAAUGAAAAUGGCCACUGAACUCCCCAUGGUAGCAGCAAAUCUACGGCCAGAUGCCGGAAGAAGUCAACAGCCCGCAAUAAUGUAACAAGUGACGAGUCAUCAUGGUGCAAUGCCGGAACAGCUCUUGUAAAGUUUCCUUGUUUUAAUUUCCUUGUUUUUUGUUCUCGCCAUGUCCUUUGCUAGAGCCACAGGGGUGUGGAGAACUUCCAGUCGGCAAAAGCCCAACAGCCCAUUUUAACUUUUGCAAUUACAAUUUAAAUAAUACUAAAAUGACUACUGAUCCGAACAGCAACCGCGAUUCCUUUCAAUCAGGGACUGAUACGUUUUGUUUUGUUUAGCUUACAAACUUAAAUAAACUUUCUGCCAGCAUGAUUUCAUUGUGCCCAUUAUUUCAGUGUAAUUUCCCGAAUAACAGGAGGUAGCGCAAAACCAGGAAAGCCGAAACAAAGUUACUGAAAGCUUUGUUGUUGUUUAACAUUGAGAUUCUUGAAACUGGGGGAACAGAGAGAGGGUUUGCCCCAGCCCUUUCUCACACACACACACACACACAUACCCCUUUCCUUUCUGAGAAUAUACUAUGAUUCCCCCAACCCCAAAGCGUACAUCAUUUACAAAGAGUUUGAUGAUUUCUUGUGCAAAUAAAAAAACCAGUGGGGGUUCCUGAGUAAUCUGCCCUCAUACAUAUUCAAACAGGAAUGUGGGUUUUAUUUUGUAUCAUUCUAACUACAGCCCACUGUAAAAUGUAUAGCUUUCUUAGCCACAGUUUUAAAGCCAGUUGUUUCAUAUACUGUAGCUAUCAACUAGCAGGCCAGCCAACUCAAUGAAAAACAUUUCGCAUUUAUAAUUCUAAGGAAAUUAAACUGACUUUUUUUUCCUUUUAAACCUGAAAUAACCAACUUUUGUGACAGGUGUAUAUUUUAAAAUUUAGAGAAUCACAGAAAUACAGCUGGUUUUUUUUU